UGUUCCUCAACAAGCCUCUGAGUGACCUUAAACAACUUAAUUUUAUUACAAACUGAAGAUAAAAUAAAAGUAAUUAUGGUGUUCUGGUUGGUAAACAAAAGCACUACACCUUUGCCAAAGGCCUGGGAGAAAAAGCCGAGUGAAAGGGUACCGCAAUAGAGCCACUUAAAUAGAUAUUGGCAUAAAAAUGUAAUAUCGGUUGAUAUCGUUCUCGGUUUUUUUUUUGCCUAUCGUGAAAACCGAUAAAAUAAUGCCUGGAUUUCGCCAGCAUUUACCGACACGCAAAUGGUCACAUUAUCAAACCAUAGACUGUAUAUAAAGAUGGACGUAGCACUUGUGACGUCACCCGUUGGUUUCUGCACAGAGAAAAUGAAGCCUCUUCUUCCUGGUUGACAUCUUGGAUUUUUGGAGCCAGUGACGACAACUAGAUUCUCAGAGGGCGGAGCCGGAGAGCACUGAUUGGUCAGACUGACUGAGAGCCAGAGAGCAGUGAUUGGUCAGACUGACUGAGAGCUGAGGACUCUCUGUCCCGCCCUCAUUUACCGGAUCUGCUGUUUAGCGACGCUGCUGCUAACAAUGUUAGCCUCCAAAAGUGAAGAUAAACUCUACAGCUUUGGUCUGGAUCGUUGGGAACAUCUAGUCUGAUAUGGACUGAGAGCUCCAGAGAACAUGAACAUCCAGCUGUGGUUGUCUGAAGAGUCUUUUCUCCUUCAUCAUUGUGAGGAAGAGCAGCACUGAUGUCCUCCUCAUCCUUCCAGUAAUAACAAUAAUGCUGCAGAUUCAGCUCCUCUCUUCAGAAUACAACUUGUCUUGUGACUUCAGUUUUUACAUUUCACUGUCAGCAACACAUUAUUUAUUUCAUCCAUUUAUUAUAUGUGUUUACACAUCUUUACAGUUCAGAAUUGUCGAAUGUAGUUUUUAAAUGUGCAGUAAAGGAAAUAACGAAGCUCUUGA